rnacentral:rRNA from 1 species
UACAGAGGGUGCGAGCGUUGUUCGGAAUUAUUGGGCGUAAAGGGCGCGUAGGCGGUGCGGUAAGUCACCUGUGAAAUCUCCCGGCUCAACUGGGAGUCUGCAGGCGAAACUGCCGUGCUGGAGUAUGGGAGAGGUGCGUGGAAUUCCCGGUGUAGCGGUGAAAUGCGUAGAGAUCGGGAGGAACACCAGCGGCGAAGGCGGCGAACUGGACAGUAACUGACACUAAACUACGAAAGCGUGGGGAGCAAACAGG